CAUCCUCCAAGGCUAAAUACUCCUGACUGACCGAUAGUGAACCAGUACCGUGAGGGAAAGGCGAAAAGAACCCCGGCGAGGGGAGUGAAAAAGAACCUGAAACCGUGUACGUACAAGCAGUGGGAGCACCCUUUGGGUGUGACUGCGUACCUUUUGUAUAAUGGGUCAGCGACUUAUAUUCUGUAGCAAGGUUAACCGAAUAGGGGAGCCGGAGGGAAACCGAGUCUUAAUUGGGCGUUAAGUUGCAGGGUAUAGACCCGAAACC
rnacentral:rRNA from 1 species